AAAGCUAAAUGCGCGGAUCUUCAGAGAUUAGAGUUUGAUCAUGGCUCAGAUUAAACGCUGGCGGCAUGCCUUACACAUGCAAGUCGAACGGCAGCAUGGGUGCUUGCACCUGAUGGCGAGUGGCGGACGGGUGAGUAAUACAUCGGAACGUGCCCUGAAGUGGGGGAUAACGCAGCGAAAGCUACGCUAAUACCGCAUAUUCUGUGAGCAGGAAAGCAGGGGAUCGCAAGACCUUGCGCUUUGGGAGCGGCCGAUGUCGGAUUAGCUAGUUGGUGGGGUAAUGGCCUACCAAGGCGACGAUCCGUAGCGGGUCUGAGAGGAUGAUCCGCCACACUGGGACUGAGACACGGCCCAGACUCCUACGGGAGGCAGCAGUGGGGAAUUUUGGACAAUGGGCGGAAGCCUGAUCCAGCCAUGCCGCGUGAGUGAAGAAGGCCUUCGGGUUGUAAAGCUCUUUCGGCGGGGAAGAAAUUGCUUGGGUUAAUACCCUGAGUAGGUGACGGUACCCGAAUAAGAAGCACCGGCUAACUACGUGCCAGCAGCCGCGGUAAUACGUAAGGUGCGAGCGUUAAUCGGAAUUACUGGGCGUAAAGCGUGCGCAGGCGGUUUUGUAAGUCAGAUGUGAAAUCCCCGGGCUCAACCUGGGAACUGCAUUUGAGACUGCAAGACUGGAGUUUGGCAGAGGGGGGUGGAAUUCCACGUGUAGCAGUGAAAUGCGUAGAGAUGUGGAGGAACACCGAUGGCGAAGGCAGCCCCCUGGGCCAAUACUGACGCUCAUGCACGAAAGCGUGGGGAGCAAACAGGAUUAGAUACCCCGGUAGUCCACGCCCUAAACGAUGUCAACUAGGUGUUGGGAGGGUUAAACCUUUUAGUGCCGUAGCUAACGCGUGAAGUUGACCGCCUGGGGAGUACGGCCGCAAGGCUAAAACUCAAAGGAAUUGACGGGGACCCGCACAAGCGGUGGAUGAUGUGGAUUAAUUCGAUGCAACGCGAAAAACCUUACCUACCCUUGACAUGUCAGGAAUCCUGGAGAGAUUUGG
rnacentral:rRNA from 1 species